CUGAUUUGGGUUUCUAAUCAUCAUGAAAUUUGGUCGGAAUUUGUAGGCUCCGUUACAUUGAGUUCUUAUGGCUUCAAACAGUUUGUUUUAGAGGUGCACUUUUUGCUAGAGCUUUUCAAAUUCAGGAGGGUACUUGUCAAGUGAGAUAACUCAGUCAGUGAUGGUGCAAAUCACUCGUUUGGAAAGAGCAUUCUCUGCUUCUGAGUUGGACUCCUACAGAGAGUGAAAGUGUUAGUCUCUGAGCUGAAGGCGGGUAGCUGUGUUGUGCUCGG